rnacentral:rRNA from 1 species
UUGAACGCUGGCGGCUUGCUUUACACAUGCAAGUCGAGCGGUAACAGGGAGCUUGCUCCGCUGACGAGUGGCGAACGGGUGAGUAAUGCACCGGAACGUGCCCGAUCGUGGGGGAUAACGCAGCGAAAGCUGUGCUAAUACCGCAUACGAUCUACGGAUGAAAGCAGGGGACCGCAAGGCCUUGCGCGGACGGAGCGGCCGAUGGCAGAUUAGGUAGUUGGUGGGAUAAAAGCUUACCAAGCCGACGAUCUGUAGCUGGUCUGAGAGGACGACCAGCCACACUGGGACUGAGACACGGCCCAGACUCCUACGGGAGGCAGCAGUGGGGAAUUUUGGACAAUGGGCGCAAGCCUGAUCCAGCCAUGCCGCGUGAGUGAAGAAGGCCUUCGGGUUGUAAAGCUCUUUCAGACGGAAAGAAAUCGGGCGCGUGAAUAGCGUGCCUGGAUGACGGUACUGUCAGAAGAAGCACCGGCUAACUACGU